GACGAACGCUGGCGGCGUGCUUAACACAUGCAAGUCGAACGGAAAGGCCCUGCUUUUGUGGGGUGCUCGAGUGGCGAACGGGUGAGUAACACGUGAGUAACCUGCCCUUGACUUUGGGAUAACUUCAGGAAACUGGGGCUAAUACCGGCUAGGAGCUCCUGCUGCAUGGUGGUGGUUGGACAGUUUCGGCGGUGGGGGAUGGACUCGCGGCUUAUCAGCUUGUUGGUGGGGUAGUGGCUUACCAAGGCUUUGACGGGUAGCCGGCCUGAGAGGGUGACCGGCGACAUGGGUACUGAGAUACGGCGCAGACUCCUACGGGAGGCAGCAGUGGGGAAUAUUGCACAAUGGGCGGAAGCCUGAUGCAGCAACGCCGCGUGCGGGAUGAAGGCCUUCGGGUUGUAAACCGCUGUCGGCUGUGACGAAGCGUGAGUGACGGUAAUGGGUAAAGAAGCACCGGCUAACUACGUG
rnacentral:rRNA from 1 species